AGGACCAUAUCACGUUGAAACACCGAUUCCCGUACGAUCACCGAAGUUCAGCAACGUCGAGCCUGGUUAGUACAUAGAUGAGUGACUGCUUUGCAAUAUCAGCUGUUGUAAG